UUUAACGACUGAGCCACCCAGGCGCCCCUGCUUCUCUUUUAAUGUUUAGAGCAGAUAAAUGUUUCUUCCUGAAGAGUGUGUUCUUAGUUUGGUUAUCGACAUAAGCACAAAGGCAGGAAUGCAAGGAGGAACUGCCAUUUCUGUAUCACAUAUGGAAAGCUGCAUUUAGAAGUACAAAUCCAAAAGGUAAUAUCGCAAAGAUUUCCCAAGGACCGGGCAAAAAUACACGGGAAAGAAGAAAGAAAAUGGGAUGAAAGAGACUAAACUAUUGAAGCAGGAUACCAGGAGCUCAGAUUGUAGGUGAGGAAGUGUCACAUUUUCUGUGUUAGCAUGGUAAAACAGCAACAUUCAAGGACCAAAGAACAUCUGACUGGUUGAAGAGUGGGGAAAAGGUGCUUUGGAGUCCUCAUUCAUGCAUGUAUUCAUUUGUUCCCGGGAGUCCAAAGCUUUUGCCCUGUGGAAAGACCAUGAAAGGCAGCUUACUCUGGGGGAAGCGAGGUGGAUUGUCAUUUACAUCUGUCAGUGUGAUGUUCACCGUGGUGGUCCCCGAUAAGCCUCCCAUCUGGCCGCCCAUAUCUUUGGCCUGGAUUACCACUUGAUAUUGCUCCCUGUUUUCUCUGUUCAUGUUUGGUAAAGCAGUCCUGAUGAUACCUUGAAGAAAACAUGAAAACUUAUGUUAUCCUUGUGAAAAUCUCAACUAGUAGUUGCCUAAGACCACAAAUUAUACAUCUAACGAUUUUGGAAAGACAACGUAUGUUUUUGCUAUUAAUUUUUAUUGUCUAGAAAUUGCAAAAGUGAUUCAAUGUCAAUAUUUUACCAUUUGUGUGGUUUUUCUAUUACCUAAAGAAGGCCAUUCGUGCUAUAUAGUGACUUAAACCCAUAGGUAAAAAAAUCAUAGAAACAGUUAUAUUUCCAUCAGCUCACCCAAUCAUUCAACUUUGAAUUCUUUAAUCUUUAAGUGUGGCAUCAUUACUCUUCUGCUCCACAGAGAAAUAUGGCUGCCCUUGAAGUAUGCUGUAAAUAACUCUGGCACUGUUUCCAUAGGAAGGGUCAUCGGCAUCUGUAGCUGUGACUUGCACCACGGAAGUACCUGAA